AGUCCCGUAGCUCAGUUGGUUAGAGCAGUACACUGAUAAUGUAAAGGUCAGCGGUUCAAAUCCGCUCGGGACUA
rnacentral:tRNA from 1 species